rnacentral:lncRNA from 1 species
AACAAUGGGUGGUUUAGCCUCUCAUUGUCAUGAGAGACUUACUAAUACAAAAAGGAAACAAUAGGUAUGGAAGAAAUUUGAAGAAAAUGGAGGAAAUGGUUCCCAAGUGAAUGGGUUCUCCCUUUUCUCUCUGUGCCUUCGCUCCUUAUUUUGGUCCCAAAGAAGAACUAUCCUGAUUUCUCCCUAUUUUUCCCUUUAAAACACAGCACAGUCAUAUUUUUUGACAUUGACUGUGCGCUAAGUCUACAUGUGCUCGCUAAGCGCAUAUGCAGAGUCCAACUGGCAUAAGUGACCGUGCGCUACACCGUCAGAUGCGCGCUGAGCCGCCAGAUGCGGGCUAAGCUGCCAGAUGCACGCUAAGCCGCCAAAGAUGUGCUAAGCCUGGCCUCCAAGUUGGCUCCUCGCGCUGAGCGGUUGUUGACGUGCUGAGCGCACUGCUCCAGUUCUUCAACCCUUUUCUAGGCCUCCUGUUGUGUAAUACUACAAAAAAUACACCCCAAAACACAAAUGAACUCACUUUAACAUUUAUUGAACAAAAACUUAGAAGAAGCUAAAUUCCUAAUGUUUUAACACAAAAGAAGCAAUAAAAAAAAGGAAAUUUAGAUAAUUGCUAUGUGAUUUAAAUAUUCAAAUUACAUAAGCAUAGCAAUUAUCAGUAUCGCUGAUGUGUUCAACUAAUGGACAUGGCAUCACAAUUUUAACGGAGACUAACGACAUGAAUUUUCCACAAAACUUUGAAAAUUUCAGGAUCCAACGAGGAACAAAAUUUUUUCAAGAAUUAAUUGCAAAGUUCGAGUAUAUUUUAAAAAUCUCUAACAUAUUUUAGCUAAAAUAAAUUUUCUGAGAACUCAAGAAUAUAAAAGACAUUAUUCAAUUCAAAAGCAAAGUAAGUCUACACAUGCCAACAAUUAUCACAUGUGGACGCAUCCGAUUUCUAGAUGAAUCAUCAAUAAAUUUUGAUUAAUAUUCCUCAGUUCUCCAAGAAUUUAAUUUAUAUUGCAAAACUUAUUUCUUUGAGUUAUUCAAUAAAUAUUAACACAUUUAAAUCAAGGAAUAUAGCUCAAUUAAUUGGAAAGAUGGGUAAAUAUUACCGUAUUCAAUUUCUACAAAUAAAAAAAACACUCAAAUAAUUCAUUAUUUAAGUCUAUUAUUGUUGAAAAUGGCGUGUUAAAUAGUUGUGAUACCAAAUGUGAAAUAAAACUGUAAACAUAUCACAUGUUCAAACAGAUCACAUAAUUAAAUAGGAUCACUAACCUCUUAACAUUGCUCUCCAAGCAGCAUUUUUGAAGACUUGAAGACACAAAAUACUUCCAUCCCUU